rnacentral:lncRNA from 1 species
GUUACAAUUUUACCACUUGAGAAUUGUUUCUUUUUUUCUUGUUAGUUUCUUCUUCUCAUAAGGGUCCAUUGCUUGGUGCAAUAGUAAAAGGCUUGGGCUGACAAGCGUAAUGGCAUAAGUUUGAGUCCUGGAGCAGCCACUGUGCAAAAAAAAUGCCAAAGGUCAGGUAUGUCCUUAGUUUUCCCUGCUUAGGAGCAGAUCGCUGGGACUAUAAUUGGGUAAUGGCCUUUUUUUUUCUAGCUUGGGCUUCUCUUCUUUGGCCAUUUCAAAGCUAUUUCUAGUUCAAACUUUUUAUAUAAAAAGAAGAAACAUCCGACCUAUAGUAGAUCCGAACCGGACUGCCAGUUGGACUGAAACCUGGUGAAAUGGGUACAAGUCUAGUUUAGUCUCAAAGAAGACUAUGUUUGCAUUUGACCUGGUGAAACCUGCCAGACGCAGUCAGGUUUUGCAUGAUUCAGUCGACUAGAGGGGUUCCAGGGACAUGGAUCAGUCAUUUUCUUGAAAAGAAAAUCUGCUCUAAAGCUAGUAUGACAAGUGAAUUGAACAAUGUAACUGUUGCAAGAAGCUUAGUUUUCUUAGCCACUAAG